AUAUAUAACUAAAAUCAAGGAACAUUAAGACCAUUUUUUUUGGAAUAGCGAUGAUAUCAAAACUCAAUUUAUCUUUGGUUUCUUUUCACAUAAAAGAAGUUUAAUGCCAGCGUGUUUUGCCUUUCCAAAUUCCGCCACUUAGUCACUUAGUUACGUCGUCACAUAGCAAUUUAGUAACUUAGUCACUUUGCAUUCCUUUGCAUAAUUUAUGUCACUUGAAGUAUGUACCA
rnacentral:lncRNA from 1 species